rnacentral:snRNA from 1 species
AUCGCUUCUUGGCCUUUUGGCUAAGAUCAUGUGUAGUACCUGUUCUUAUCAGUUUAAUAUCUGAUAUGUCCUUGAUGAGAGGACUUUAUACUAAACAGAUUUUUGGGCUCGGGAGUUUUU